AAUGGGUCAGCGACUUAUAUUCUGUAGCAAGGUUAACCGAAUAGGGGAGCCGAAGGGAAACCGAGUCUUAACUGGGCGUUAAGUUGCAGGGUAUAGACCCGAAACCCGGUGAUCUAGCCAUGGGCAGGUUGAAGGUUGGGUAACACUAACUGGAGGACCGAACCGACUAAUGUUGAAAAAUUAGCGGAUGACUUGUGGCUGGGGGUGAAAGGCCAAUCAAACCGGGAGAUAGCUGGUUCUCCCCGAAAGCUAUUUAGGUAGCGCCUCGUGAAUUCAUCUCCGGGGGUAGAGCACUGUUUCGGCAAGGGGGUCAUCCCGACUUACCAACCCGAUGCAAACUGCGAAUACCGGAGAAUGUUAUCACGGGAGACACACGGCGGGUGCUAACGUCCGUCGUGAAGAGGGAAACAACCCAGACCGCCAGCUAAGGUCCCAAAGUCAUGGUUAAGUGGGAAACGAUGUGGGAAGGCCCAGACAGCCAGGAUGUUGGCUUAGAAGCAGCCAUCAUUUAAAGAAAGCGUAAUAGCUCACUGGUCGAGUCGGCCUGCGCGGAAGAUGUAACGGGGCUAAACCAUGCACCGAAGCUGCGGCAGCGACGCUUA
rnacentral:rRNA from 1 species